GUAAGGAAUAUUGGACAAUGGGCGCAAGCCUGAUCCAGCCAUGCCGCGUGUGUGAAGAAGGCCUUCGGGUUGUAAAGCACUUUUGUCCGGGAAGAAAUCUUCCAGGUUAAUACCCUGGGAGGCUGACGGUACCGGAAGAAUAAGCACCGGCUAACUUCGUGCCAGCAGCCGCGGUAAUACGAAGGGUGCAAGCGUUACUCGGAAUUACUGGGCGUAAAGCGUGCGUAGGUGGUUCGUUAAGUCUGCCGUGAAAGCCCCGGGCUCAACCUGGGAAUGGCGGUGGAUACUGGCGGGCUAGAGUGCGGUAGAGGGUGGUGGAAUUCCCGGUGUAGCAGUGAAAUGCGUAGAGAUCGGGAGGAACAUCUGUGGCGAAGGCGGCCACCUGGACCAGCACUGACACUGAGGCACGAAAGCGUGGGGAGCAAACAGGAUUAGAUACCCGAGUAGUCC
rnacentral:rRNA from 1 species